UGCCAGCCGCCGCGGUAAUACAGAGGGUGCAAGCGUUAAUCGGAUUGACUGGGCGUAAAGGGCGCGUAGGUGGUUAUUUAAGUUAGAUGUGAAAUCCCUGGGCUUAACCUAGGAACUGCAUUUAAUACUGGGUGACUAGAGUACGGGAGAGGGCAGUGGAAUUUCUGGCGGAGCGGUGAAAUGCGUUGAUAUCAUCUGGAACACCGGUGGCGAAAGCGGCUCACUGGAUCUCUUCUGACGCUGAGGAACGAAAGCUAGGGUAGCGAACGGGAUUAGAUA
rnacentral:rRNA from 1 species